rnacentral:piRNA from 1 species
GUUGUAAGAGACAGUACGGAUGAAGGAGUU